rnacentral:rRNA from 1 species
UACGUAGGGUGCGAGCGUUGUCCGGAAUUAUUGGGCGUAAAGGGCUCGUAGGCGGUUUGUCGCGUCGGGAGUGAAAACCUCGGGCUUAACUCGGGGCUUGCUUUCGAUACGGGCAGACUGGAGGUAUGCAGGGGAGAACGGAAUUCCUGGUGUAGCGGUGAAAUGACGCAGAUAUCAGGAGGAACACCGGUGGCGAAGGCGGUUCUCUGGGCAUGACCUGACGCUGAGGAGCGAAAGUGUGGGGAGCGAACAGG